rnacentral:rRNA from 1 species
GACGAACGCUGGCGGCGUGCUUAACACAUGCAAGUCGAACGGAAAGGCCCUGCUUUUGUGGGGUGCCCGAGUGGCGAACGGGUGAGUAACACGUGAGUAACCUGCCCUUGACUUUGGGAUAACUUCAGGAAACUGGGGCUAAUACCGGAUAGGAGCUCCUGCUGCAUGGUGGGGGUUGGAAAGUUUCGGCGGUUGGGGAUGGACUCGCGGCUUAUCAGCUUGUUGGUGGGGUAGUGGCUUACCAAGGCUUUGACGGGUAGCCGGCCUGAGAGGGUGACCGGCCACAUUGGGACUGAGAUACGGACCAGACUCCUACGGGAGGCAGCAGUGGGGAAUAUUGCACAAUGGGCGGAAGCCUGAUGCAGCAACGCCGCGUGCGGGAUGAAGGCCUUCGGGUUGUAAACCGCUUUCGCCUGUGACGAAGCGUGAGUGACGGUAAUGGGUAAAGAAGCACCGGCUAACUACGUG